AUUGAACGCUGGCGGCAUGCCUUACACAUGCAAGUCGAACGGCAGCACGGGGCAACCUGGUGGCGAGUGGCGAACGGGUGAGUAAUGCAUCGGAACGUACCUUUCAGUGGGGGAUAAAGUAGCGAAAGUUACGCUAAUACCGCAUAUUCUGUGAGCAGGAAAGCAGGGGAUCGCAAGACCUCGCGCUGACUGAGCGGCCGAUGUCAGACUAGCGAGUUGGUGAGGUAAAGGCUCACCAAGGCGACGAUCUGUAGCGGGUCUGAGAGGAUGAUCCGCCACACUGGAACUGAGACACGGUCCAGACUCCUACGGGAGGCAGCAGUGGGGAAUUUUGGACAAUGGGGGCAACCCUGAUCCAGCCAUGCCGCGUGAGUGAAGAAGGCCUUCGGGUUGUAAAGCUCUUUCGGCCGGGAAGAAAUCGCACGGGCUAAUACCCUGUGUGGAUGACGGUACCGGAAUAAGAAGCACCGGCUAACUACGUGCCAGCCGCCGCCGUAAUAC
rnacentral:rRNA from 1 species